AUUGAACGCUGGCGGCAUGCCUUACACAUGCAAGUCGAACGGCAGCACGGGAGCAAUCCUGGUGGCGAGUGGCGAACGGGUGAGUAAUAUAUCGGAACGUGCCCAGUCGUGGGGAUAACGUAGCGAAAGCUACGCUAAUACCGCAUACAAUCUAUGGAUGAAAGCGGGGGAUCGCAAGACCUCGCGCGAUUGGAGCGGCCGAUAUCAGAUUAGGUAGUUGGUGAGGUAAAGGCUCACCAAGCCGACGAUCUGUAGCUGGUCUGAGAGGACGACCAGCCACACUGGGACUGAGACACGGCCCAGACUCCUACGGGAGGCAGCAGUGGGGAAUUUUGGACAAUGGGCGCAAGCCUGAUCCAGCAAUGCCGCGUGCAGGAUGAAGGCCUUC
rnacentral:rRNA from 1 species